rnacentral:tRNA from 1 species
GCUGAUAUGGCUCACGUGGUACAGCACAUCCACGGUAAGGCUGCGCGCCCCAGUUCGACUCUGCGUAUCAGCGCCA